rnacentral:lncRNA from 1 species
CUCAUGCAGAAUAACCCUCAGGAUCCAGCAGGAGAGAUGGGAACCAGCCCCCCAAGUUGCUGUUCUGCUUUCAGCCAGCAUCCUGAGCUGAAAUCUCAAAGGAUCACCAAAGCCAUGAGGAAGGCCUGGGGCAGAUGUGGAGAUCUGGAAUGCAGCAAAAGGCAUCAAAGUGCGAAUAUAGAGCAAAGGGGUGAAAACGAAGCAUGUGGGUGGAGCUGGCGUUGUGGCUUCACAGAGUAA